AGAGCAAUUAUCUGGACACCAAACCUUAGUGACUGCUGGAACUGUGAAGUGGAUGAUCCCCCUCCCAAACCUCAGGGGAGGCAGCACAGGGAGAAGCUGCUCUGGGCACUGAACAGGAGCAGCUCACUCACCCCUGUGGCAGCUGUUUCUACCUGGACUGGUGGGAUUCCUGUGGAGCAAAAAGCUGCAGGAUGGGAGUGCAGUCAGCUUGGCUUGUUGUGUUCACUGGAUUUCUGUCUAUGGCUUCUGUUCAUCUCUCCACUGAAAGCAUCAUCAAAAGGCUCAGCAGAGAGGGGAGAGCCACAGAGAGCUUAUCUGGGCUCCCAGAGGCUUGUCCUGGCCCUGACCCACACAGGCCACAGGGGAUGUAGAGAGCCCUGCUUGCACACAAGGACAGUUCAAUUCUGUGUGGAAUUAAAUUCUGUGUGCUGCUGUGAGUGCUCACUAUGUGGCACAUGCUCCAGUGCACCCUAAGUAAAUAGAUUUUUAAGUAUACAGCUCAGUAAUAAUAAACAGGUUAAUUACAACAUAACACGUCCUUUUUAGUGCAGUUGUUUCUCCUUUCAAAUCCAGCAGCAAAGCCCUGCUAUAGCAUCCAUGUUUUCUUUGUCAAUUUGACUGUUACAGCAAU